GAUGAACGCUGGCGGCGUGCUUAACACAUGCAAGUCGAACGGGAUCCAGGCAGCUUGCUGCCUGGUGAGAGUGGCGAACGGGUGAGUAAUGCGUGACCGACCUGCCCCAUACACCGGAAUAGCUCCUGGAAACGGGUGGUAAUGCCGGAUGCUCCGACUCCUCGCAUGGGGUGUCGGGAAAGAUUUCAUCGGUAUGGGAUGGGGUCGCGUCCUAUCAGGUAGUCGGCGGGGUAACGGCCCACCGAGCCUACGACGGGUAGCCGGCCUGAGAGGGCGACCGGCCACAUUGGGACUGAGAUACGGCCCAGACUCCUACGGGAGGCAGCAGUGGGGAAUAUUGCACAAUGGGCGCAAGCCUGAUGCAGCGACGCCGCGUGCGGGAUGACGGCCUUCGGGUUGUAAA
rnacentral:rRNA from 1 species